AUUGAACGCUGGCGGCAGGCCUAACACAUGCAAGUCGAGCGGAUGAAGGGAGCUUGCUCCUGGAUUCAGUGGCGGACGGGUGAGUAAUGCCUAGGAAUCUGCCCGGUAGUGGGGGAUAACGUCCGGAAACGGGCGCUAAUACCGCAUACGUCCUGAUGGAGAAAGUGGGGGAUCUUCGGACCUCACGCUAUCAGAUGAGCCUAGGUCGGAUUAGCUAGUUGGUGGGGUAAAGGCCUACCAAGGCGACGAUCCGUAACUGGUCUGAGAGGAUGAUCAGUCACACUGGAACUGAGACACGGUCCAGACUCCUACGGGAGGCAGCAGUGGGGAAUAUUGGACAAUGGGCGAAAGCCUGAUCCAGCCAUGCCGCGUGUGUGAAGAAGGUCUUCGGAUUGUAAAGCACUUUAAGUUGGGAAGAAGGGCAGUAAGUUAAUACCUUGCUGUUCUGACGGUACCAACAGAAUAAGCACCGGCUAACUUCGUG
rnacentral:rRNA from 1 species